ensembl:lncRNA
GUUACUAUAUAGAGGAAGCUCCUGUCCUGUCCACUACCUUCAGGUUACUAUAUAGAGGAAGCUCCUGUCCUGUCCACUACCUUCAGGUUACUAUAUAGAGGAAGCUGCUGUCCUGUCCACUACCUUCAGGUUACUAUAUAGAGGAAGCUGCUGUCCUGUCCACUACCUUCAGGUUACUAUAUAGAGGAAGCUAAGAGAGAGAAUCUUAUUUAACCCUUUAGUUGCGUCCCCCUCAGCCCUACUUUAUUAAGAAUUAUAUUUUUAUGAGCUUCUUCUGGUCCAUGCUCUAACUCAGGCCCUACAGUCCGCAGGUGUGUGUGAGACAGGUGUGUGUGAGACAGGUGUGUGUGAGAGACAGGUGUGUGUGAGAGACAGGUGUGUGUGAGAGACAGGUGUGUGUGAGCUGUGUGUAAGACAGGUGUUUGUGAGAUAGCUGUGUGUAAGACAGGUGUGUGUGAGAUAGCUGUGUGUAAGACAGGUGUGUGUGAGAUAGCUGUGUGUAAGACAGGUGUGUGUGAGAGCUGUGUGUAAGACAGGUGUGUGUGAGAGCUGUGUGUAAGACAGGUGUGUGUGAGAGCUGUGUGUAAGACAGGUGUGUGUGAGAUAGCUGUGUGUAAGACAGGUGUGUGUGAGACAGGUGUGUGUGAGACAGGUGUGUGUGAGAUAGCUGUGUGUGAGACAGCUGUGUGUGUGAGAGCUGUGUGUGAGACAGGUGUGUGUGAGAGGUGUGUGUGUGAGAUAGCUGUGUGUGAGACAGGUGUGUGUGAGAGCUGUGUGUGAGAUAGCUGUGUGUGAGAUAGGUGUGUGUGAGACAGGUGUGUGUGAGAUAGGUGCGUGUGAGAUAGCUGUGUGUGAGAUAGCUGUGUGAGACAGGUGUGUGUGAGAGCUGUGUGUGAGACAGGUGUGUGUGAGAUAGGUGUGUGUGAGACAGCUGUGUGUGAGACAGGUGUGUGUGAGACAGCUGUGUGUGAGACAGGUGUGUGUGAGACAGCUGUGUGUGAGACAGCUGUGUGUGAGACAGGUGUGUGUGAGACAGGUGUGUGUGAGACAGGUGUGUGUGAGACAGCUGUGUGUGAGACAGGUGUGUGUGAGACAGGUGUGUGUGAGACAGGUGUGUGUGAGACAGGUGUGUGUGAGAUAGCUGUGUGUAAAACCGUUCGACUAGCAUCUCCUUGACAAAAACGUACAUUUUGGACAGAUUUCUUGAGUUAUCUUUAGAUUAAUUCUGAUUAUUUUGAGGAAGUGUAUAUUGGCUACGGCGUCUCAAGUUGGACAAACAGUACCAUCGCUACUUUUUUUUCUUGUUUUUCAAGAGAAGGUCUUUUAAGGGAGCAUGCGAGUACUCUCGUUUGGUUCAGCCGAAUCGAAGCGUGUGGAAGGAGUAACACAGGUGUGUGUGUGUGA